AGAGAGAGACAUGCGCGCAUAUCAAUAAGCGGAGGAAAAGAAACUAACAAGGAUUCCCUUAGUAACGGCGAGUGAAGCGGGAAGAGCUCAAAUUUAAAAUCUUCAAGGUUCUACCUUGACGAAUUGUAGUUUAAAGAAGUGUUUUCUGCUGAAGUUUUGGUAAAAGUUCUUUGGAAUAGGACAUCAUAGAGGGUGAGAAUCCCGUAUUUGACCAUUAUUUUCAGCUUUGUGAUACACUUUCAAAGAGUCGGAUUGUUUGGGAAUGCAGUCCAAAAUGGGUGGUAAAUUUCAUCUAAAGCUAAAUAUUGGCGAGAGACCGAUAGCGAACAAGUACCGUGAGGGAAAGAUGAAAAGAACUUUGAAAAGAGAGUUAAACAGUACGUGAAAUUGUCAAAAGGGAAGCGUUUGACACCAGUGUUGUUUUCUCGAAAAUCAAUUAAAAAUGGCUCGAUUUUGUAUUGCUGAGACCUUAAAAGCUCACUGUACAUUUUUCGUGUCUUUUUUAAUGCACUUUUCGUUUAACAAGUCAACAUCAGUUUCUUUUGUUGUAAAAGGGUCAUUGGAAGGUGGCUUUCUUUUCGGAGAAAGUGUUUAUAGCCUUUGGCCUCUGCAAUCGAAGAGACUGAGGUCUAGCAGCGUAGACUCUUCGGGGUUAGAUACAUUUGUGCUAAGUUAUAGCUUUUUAUAGACAACUUGUUGACUAUAAUUAGUCUUGUAGCUUACUCGCUUAUGCUAUUUUACCUACGCUUAGGAUGUUGAGUCGUAGAGCACGCAG
rnacentral:rRNA from 1 species